CGAACGCUGGCGGCAGGCCUAAUACAUGCAAGUCGAACGGCUCUUCGGAGCAGUGGCGGACGGGUGAGUAACGCGUGGGAAUGUGCCCUUAGGUACGGAACAACACAGGGAAACUUGUGCUAAUACCGUAUGUGCCCUUCGGGGGAAAGAUUCAUCGCCUUUGGAGCAGCCCGCGCUGGAUUAGGUAGUUGGUGAGGUAAAGGCUCACCAAGCCGACGAUCCAUAGCUGGUCUGAGAGGAUGACCAGCCACACUGGGACUGAGACACGGCCCAGACUCCUACGGGAGGCAGCAGUAGGGAAUCUUGCGCAAUGGGCGAAAGCCUGACGCAGCCAUGCCGCGUGUAUGAUGAAGGUCUUAGGAUUGUAAAAUACUUUCAUCGGGGAAGAUAAUGACGGUACCCGGAGAAGAAGCCCCGGCUAACUUCGUGCCAGCCGCCGCAGUAAUAC
rnacentral:rRNA from 1 species